rnacentral:lncRNA from 1 species
AUCGUUACCCGAGCCCAGCGCCGGGCCAAUGUCCUAUCUCAGGGUUUCCCACGUCGCUCGCUCCUUGACGGCUGACCGACACUGGGUCUGAGGUGUAAGCGCUUUCCAGGCCCUUCCCUGGGGCUUGGAGGGGAAUGGCGCAAAGGACUUUUCUUACAAGCAGAGCCACUGCAGUUACCAAAGAGUAUGUCGCUUAUUGUCUAAGAGGUUGGACUCCUGAAAGCCUGGACAGUGUCAUCAUCUUCACCUGAAGAGUGGAAAAAUUCAAGCAAAGAGUUUCUCAGGAAAUGACCAAGUAAAACAUCUGGAGUAAGUCAGCAGGAUUCACAGUGACUCCCCCCAACCAGCUGGUGGUGUUUCUCUCUGAAAGCAGCGCUUGGUACCAGUGUGAACUCUCUUCCUUCAGAAGUCUCAUCAGGUGUUUCAGAUGAGUUCUCCGGAAUUUGGACCUCCUACUCUUGGGUUGAAGGUGGACGUAAUACGAGGGUCUGGUCCCCCAUACCUUGAGGACUCCGCUGCCAUCUGACAAUUACAGACAAUCCAAUUGUCCUCAUCCUUGAGGACUCUGCUGCCAUCUGACAAUUAGAGACAGUCCAAAACAUGCCACACUUUGAUCCUAAACACAUUCCUGGCUUUGGUCACUUUUGAAAAGUUCCUGAGUUAUGAGAAAUCAAUAAUAAGAGUGUUCAAAACCUGAACACUCUUUUUAGAAAUACCUGCUGGAACUACAUAUAUGAUUUAUGGGGUACUGUCUUGUAGUAUCUGGGAAAGUAGACCCAUCUAACCUGGAAUGAUCAUAGGCAACAAUGACCAAAAAUGGGGAUCUUUUGAUAUACCUAAAGUAAUUUAUUUGUGCACACCAUUGGAAAGAGCUGGUUUUAGAACCAGACAUGUAAAUAAGAGACUGACUUCCACUGGCACCUAAAAACUUCUAAAAGAAAUCCUGAAAGAAAAAGUCACCUUCAUUCAAGAGGAAAUUCAUAGAAUAGGACCCUGACAAGUACUCUUGAAUACAGGUUUCUGAUAACUUUGGAGAUCAUAUCAUUGGACUAAGUAACAACUUUCAGGAUAUAAUUGGAGACACUUGUUAUUUUACUAAGGAUUUGACUGGAAUGACAUAUUUUCAGAUAUGACCAGACUGCUUUGAAGAAUGGAGGUUGACUCUAUAGAGGCAAUUAGAAAGCCUCUUGGAAAGACUGGCCUGGUCCCUUGUCUACGUAGUUCCCUUUCAAGAUUUCUGUCCUGUGUUAAGUAAAGAAUGUCACUUUCUGACAGGCCUGGGAACCUCAAAAUAUUUCCGCUGUGUAUCUCUCAUUGUUUUAUUUCUUCUGAGAAAACUAAAUUCAUGGUACACUGAAGAGGUGAUUCCACAAGUGAUGGCAGCUAUAAAUCAAUGACUGGUAGGACUACCUGGGCAUGAGCCUUUCUGGCAAUGAGGGAUACCUUGACACUCAGAUUUUGAUCAUCAGUGCUUUCAAAAGGAAAGAUUUUUGAUCAAAAGGAAGAAAUGAGAAAAAGAACUUUUAUCUGAAGAAUGCAAGUCCUUUCCAAUUAUCAGAUCCAGAGAGGUAUUAAAAUGAGACGGCAAUCCUGUCCUACACACACCCCCUUUUGAGGCAUGUACUCAUCUUUUUAUACUGCUUACUAUUGCCACAAGUAGCUGAAAAUUAGCCUACUGGUGCUGCACCAGACAUUAUAACCCAUAUCCUAUAGCUUAAUAAUGGAUAGCCAAUCAACAGCUUAUGUUAUGUUAAUGUAAAUUAUUGGUAAAUAACUCAGGAACUGCCUCUUCUUUCCUUUUAAAAACCCACUUGUGGGCCGGGCGUGGUGGCUCACGCCUGUAAUCCCAGCAUUUUGGGAGGCCAAGGUGGGCGGAUCACAAGGUGAGGAGAUCAAGACCAUCCUGGAUAACACAGUGAAACCCUGUCUCUACUAAAAAUACAAAAAAUUAGCCGGGCGUGGUGGCGGGCACCUGUAGUCCCAGCUACUCGGGAGGCUGAGGCAGGAGAAAGGCGUGAACCCAGGAAGCAGAGCUUGCAGUGAGCUGACAUGGCACCACUGCACUCCAGCCCGGGCAACAGUGCGAGGCCCUGUCUCAAAAAAAAAAAAAAAAAAAAAAUCCACUUGUGGCUGAGUGUGGUGGUUCACACCUGUAAUCCCAGCACUUUGGGAGGCUGAGGUGGGUGGAUCACCUGAUGUCAGGAGUUCGAGACCAGCUUAACCAAUGUGGCGAAACCCUGUCUCUACUAAAAAUACAACAAUUAGCCAGCUGUGAUGGUGGGUGCCUGUAAUCCCAGCUACUUGGGAGUCUGAGGCAGACUCAAGACUUCAAGAAUGUCUUGAACCCAGGAGGCGGAGGUUGCAGUGAGCCAAGAUCACACCAUUGCACUCCAGCAUGGGUGACAAGAGUGAAACUGCCUCCAAAAAAAAAAAUCCACUUGUAACUGCUGCUACUCAGAAUGUAUAUUCACGGCAACUAGAAUCUAUGUUACUAAGUUGCAAUCCUCAAGCUUGUCCCAAAUAAACUCUCUACUUAUAUUAAUU